rnacentral:lncRNA from 1 species
UGUUUUUAAUCCUAUAUCUUCUGUAUCUGACAGACUCCAUUUCAUCCAUUUUUUUAGUUGUCCUUUUUUACUAUAUAGUUUUACAGAAUCCAGGAAAUCCUUUUCUUCUGUUAAAAUGCUAUCACUAGUAGUAAUAUUUCUAAUGCCAAUUUAAACCUUUUUAUCCUAGCAUACUUUGUGCAGAAUGAAUUGUUAAGUGCAUCUAUAGAAAACGAAUGAUUGGUAUUCAGCCAAGCUUUGCCUAUGUCUUUCCAUGACCAAAAACAAGUCAGACUUCAAAAGCUGCCAGAUUAUUGUGAAAGGAGAAACACUGUUUUCGAAGGCUGCUGAUAAUGCCUAUUAGCCAGAAGAAAGAGCCUGAAUCAUUCAAAGGUUUUCCAUCUAGUAAAGAAGUGUGGUAAAAAUCUUGCCCAGAUCUGCAUGUGCUAAGCAUCUACGUAAGUUGGAGCAUCAUAUUAAUGACACCCAGUGAAGAAACGAAAGAAUGAAGUGUAAUUACUAUAUCAAAAAUCCACAGAAUGUGAAAGUAUAAAGGAAAACUCUCAGGUGAGACUCGAUUAUUUUUAUUUCAAAGAUCUAGGUAAAAAUGUGAACAGAUUGGGAGGCUGAGGCAGGAGAAUCACUUGAACCCAGGAGGCAGAAGUUGCAGUGAGCCAAGAUUGCACCAUUG